rnacentral:rRNA from 1 species
AUGAACGCUAGCUACAGGCUUAACACAUGCAAGUCGCAGGGUAACAUGAGGAAAGCUUGCUUUCCUUGAUGACGACUGGCGCACGGGUGAGUAACGCGUAUCCAACCUUCCCAUAACUACGUGAUAACCCGUUGAAAGACGGCCUAAUACCGUAUGAUAUCGUUUGCUGACAUCAAAUAACGAUUAAAGGUUUAGCGGUUAUGGAUGGGGAUGCGUCUGAUUAGCUUGUUGGCGGGGUAACGGCCCACCAAGGCGACGAUCAGUAGGGG